AUAGCGUAUAUUAAAGUUGUUGCAGUUAAAAAGCUCGUAGUUGAACGUUGGAGGCGCGUAACGGGUCCGCUUUUUGCGAGUACUUGGGUCGCGCCUCCCCUCUGGCUCCGGCCAGAAAUUACUUUGAGUAAAUGAGAGUGUUCAAAGCAGGCGAAAUUGCUUGAAUCUGUUAGCAUGGAAUAAUAGAAUAGGACGCAUGGUUCUAUUUUGUUGGUUUCUAGGACCAUCGUAAUGAUUAAUAGGGACGGUCGGGGGCAUCAGUAUUCAGUUGUCAGAGGUGAAAUUCUUAGAUUUAUUGAAGACUAACUACUG
rnacentral:rRNA from 1 species